UAUUAUUUUUAUACUUUUGCUCCACUUAAAAUUUUAAGAAAUUUUUUUUUUUUCCAAACACCAGUAAAAUUAAGGAAAAACUUCAAAUACCACCCUUGUGGUUUCACACUUUCUCACUUUAGUAUCUUGUGGUUUAAAGUAUAUCAAUUUAGUGUCCUGUGGUUUCAUUUUUAUCUUUUUAUUAUCGAUUUCACUAAUUUUUUUGGUUAAAUCAGUGACAAAGUUAAAACUAAAGGGUACUAAAGUGAAUAUUUGAUAAACCUAGAUAGGGUAUCUGAAGUUUUUUGUAUAUAAUUUAAUGAAAUAUUAAUGAAAAAACAGGCGAAAAGAUAAAAAUGAAACCGCAGGACAUUAACUUAAUACACUUUAAAACACUGGGUACUAAAGUGAGAAAAUGCGAAACUACAGGGGUGGUAUUUGAAGUUUAUCCUAAAAUUAAUAGCUUUUGAAAGCAGAAGCAAAAGAGAGAUUAGUGAGGUUCUAAAGCCGAACAACAUAAAAAUGAAAGCCCCAAAUAAAUAAAUUGGAAAAAGUCUACAUAUGCAUCACAUCUGCGGUGUACAGUUUACACCCAUCCAUCUAAUGGAUGGGAUUCUUUUACUUGUCACAUCAUGUGACAAGCAAAAAAAUCUUUUUCAUUUAAUAGAUGGGUGUAAAUCAUAUACCAUCAAAUAAAGUGUAUGAAUAGCAUUACUCAAUAAACUGAUCCUAACAAUCGCAAGUAUGCCCCUUC
rnacentral:lncRNA from 1 species